rnacentral:rRNA from 1 species
GAUGAACGCUAGCGGCAGGCCUAACACAUGCAAGUCGAGGGGCAGCACAGAAACAGCAAUGUUUUGGUGGCGACCGGCGGACGGGUGCGUAACGCGUAUGCAACCUACCUUUAACAGGGGGUUAACGGAGAGAAAUUUCCACUAAUACCCCAUAACAUCGAUCAAGGCAUCUUGAUUGGUUGAAAACUCCGGUGGUUAAGGAUGGACAUGCGUUGUAUUAGUUAGUUGGUGAGGUAAUGGCUCACCAAGCCUACGAUACAAAGGGGGACUGAGAGGUUAGGCCCCCACACUGGUACUGAGACACGGACCAGACGCCUACGGGAGGCAGCAGUGAGGAAUAUUGGUCAAUGGGGGCAACCCUGAACCAGCCAUGCCGCGUGCAGGAAGACGGCUCUAUGAGUUGUAAACUGCUUUUAAACAGGGAUAAAGCACAGUAUGUAUACUGUGUUGAAGGUACUGUAAGAAUAAGGAUCGGCUAACUCCGUGCCAGCAGCCGCGGUAA